CCCCGACCCCGACCUCGCUAAGCAAACUCCCAGAGCGAUCGCCGCAGAAGAUCCCGCAUGCAUGCCCCGGCGCCGCCCUCCUCCGUCGAUCUGCCGUUGUCGGCGCCGCCGCCGCCGGUGAAGGCGCCGUCCCCGCGGCCUCCGCCGCCGGCCUCGCUGCAGCCCGAGUCCCCGGGCGUCUUUUUCUCCGCCACCGCACCCCUGGGCACCUCCCACCGCCGCAUCGCCAUCGCCGUCGACCUAUCCGACGAGUCCGCCUUCGCCGUGCGCUGGGCCGUCGCCAACUACCUACGCUCCGGGGACGCCGUCAUCCUGCUCCACGUGCGCCCCACCUCCGUGCUCUACGGCGCCGACUGGGGCGCCGUCGACGUCUCUCUCCCCAUCCCUAGCGCCUACUCCGAGGAUGGCUUUGGCGGCGGCGACGCCGAUUCCGAGGCCGCCGCUGCGCGCAGGAUGGAGGACGACUACGACGCCUUCACGGCCUCCAAGGCCGACGACAUCGCCAGGCCGCUCAAGGAGGCGGGCAUCCCCUACAAGAUCCACAUCGUCAGGGACCACGACAUGAAAGAGCGCCUCUGCCUCGAGGUCGAGCGCCUCUCGCUCAGCGCCGUCAUCAUGGGGAGCAAGGGCUUCGGCUCCACGCGGAGGACCAGCAAGGGGAGGCUCGGCAGCGUCAGCGACUACUGCGUGCAUCACUGUAUCUGCCCCGUUGUGGUAGUGCGCUUCCCUGAUGAGUGAUGACGGCUCUGCCGAGUGUGGGGAGGCAGGUGGUUUGCCCGCCGCGGUUGGUGCUGAGGAUGUGCUGCACCCCGUGCCGGAGGAGGAGGAGGCCGAGUAUCAUGAUUCAUGACGCCGCUGAGGAGCACAAGGCCGCACGCACGCCAGAACGAGGGGGAAAGAGAAGCGGACCUCCACGUAGGAGCCCUGCUAGGGGCAGCGCUGCAGCGAAUUUUGGCUCCUGUAGCCGGCAUACAGGGGAGGGGCCGGGCGGCGGUAAGGGUUGCGUACACCCUAAGGCAUCAAACUGUCUCCAGAGAAUGUAAAGGUUGUAGCAUUCGACAGUUGGCUGGGUGCUAGGUGGGAUUUCUACCCGAGUGCAUGUGAAGUUUGCUGAACUUCCAUUACCCGUGCCCAUGUAUCUGUGAUUUCGCUUUGUUUGUAGCUUCUGUUACCUUUGUUCAUGUAGCUUGUCUGACUUCCACUGCCUGGUGAAUAUCUUUGUCUGAACAUUUGUACUUACUUUGCGUUGCACUGUGUUUCUGAUGAAAGUUAUAGGUUAACCACUUCUAUAGAACCAACUAAUCAAGGGUGCAAAUUCCUCCU